CCUGUGAUGUAUGUAUGCUUGGCUAGGCCACCAAUGAUUUACGCGGUUGCGACCGUCGGAUAUCUCUUAUAUCGGCCAACAUCGUGAGACUGCCAUGGCAUGUAGGAUCUAGUGGAGUGAGGCUCCCGAAUGUUAUUACGUGGUAGCAGGACCACGGGUUUAUUUUCAUUCCCUACUCGAGAGUGGCAUCUCUAGGUUUUCAAACUUAUAUUUCUUUGCAUGGU
rnacentral:lncRNA from 1 species